rnacentral:lncRNA from 1 species
CUCAAGACAGUCUCUAAUCAUUUUCUUGACCAAGGGACAAAAUUAGUAUUUUACUCAUCAUAUAUAUUAUUGUCUUCUCAGCAGCAGAAGUGUUCUCACUUGGUGUCUGUAACUUGAUCUCACAUUUAACCUUCUCCCUCUGCAAUUGCUCCUGUAGCAUGACCUUUGAAGGGACUUAUUCAUCUUCUCCGUGACCCAGCAUUCAGCAGAGACUUUGCAGUCUUAUUUCCUCUAUGCCUUUGAAUAAUCCACACAGGAGAAGAGAAAGUCCUUUCAGCUUCUUUCUGUGGCUCCAGAUUCAUGAGUUUGGCUCUUCCCAUGGAUGCACGCUGUCCACCCAGCUGACAACAGGUAAAUCAUCAGCUACUCUCAGCAUCAUUUUCUACUGUAUUCUGAAACAUGGAAAAGGCAGCUCAUGGCCGAGUUCAAUUUGAGGUACGUAGAAGAAGAUGCGAACAGGAUGAAAGAAGAGCCCUGUG